rnacentral:rRNA from 1 species
AUCAACUUUCGAUGGUAGGAUAGAGGCCUACCAUGGUGGUAACGGGUAACGGGGUGUUAGGGCACGACACCGGAGAGGGAGCCUGAGAAACGGCUACCACAUCCAAGGAUGGCAGCAGGCGCGCAAAUUACCCAAUCCCGACACGGGGAGGUAGUGACAAUAAAUAACAAUACGGGGCUCUUUAGGGUCUCGUAAUUGGAAUGAGUACAAUUUAAAUCUCUUAACGAGGAACAAUUGGAGGGCAAGUCUGGUGCCAGCAGCCGCGGUAAUUCCAGCUCCAAUAGCGUAUAUUAAAGUUGUUGCAGUUAAAAAGCUCGUAGUUGAAUUUCGGGAUCAGCAGGUUGGUCGUGCCUCUGGUAUGCACUGGUUUCGCUGAUUCCUCCUUUCUGAAGAACUGUAAUGUCAUUAAUUUGGUGUUGCAGGGAAACAGGACUGUUACUUUGAAAAAAUUAGAGUGUUUAAAGCAGGCUAACGCUUGAAUACAUUAGCAUGGAAUAAUGAAAUAGGACGUUUGAUCCUAUUUUGUUGGUUUCUAGGAUUGACGUAAUGAUUAAUAGGGAUAGUUGGGGGCAUUAGUAUUCAAUUGUCAGAGGUGAAAUUCUUGGAUUUAUUGAAGACUAACUACUGCGAAAGCAUUUGCCAAGGAUGUUUUCAUUAAUCAAGAACGAAAGUUAGGGGAUCGAAGACGAUCAGAUACCGUCGUAGUCUUAACCAUAAACUAUGCCGACUAGGGAUCGGAUGAUGUUAAUUUUUUAAUGACUCAUUCGGCGCCUUACGGGAAACCAAAGUGUUUGGGUUC